ACCCACGUCCACUGAAGAGUUCAAAUUUUCUUCAAGAGACCGAAUUUAUUUAUUAUUACUAUAUCAUCCAUCCGGGCUCAACUGUCAGGGACGACGCAUCAAGAUUUUCUUUUCUUUUCUUUUUUCCCUUUUCCUCUCCUUUCUUUUCUUCUGUCCCCUUCUCGUCUUUUCUUCAUCACAAGGCGCGAAACAGAUUUCUUCAGCAAAGUGACGUAUGUGGCUUUCUCGCGAUCGAAGGCUGCGAGCUACUUACUAGCUUAGCUCCACGCUGGGUUAUUUCUCUGUACGCGCCCACCCCUUUGACGGGGCCAGCUGACGGCUGUUUGGGUUUGAUGGAGGCAAACAAAGGAAGGAUUGUAAAAAAAAAUAAAAAUAAAAAUAAAAAAGUAUGAUCAUAAGAUCACAGCUUAAUUUAGUUCGUAGAACUCGUUUCGUGGCGUGGAAAUAAAAUACAAGGAUGAGAUUUGCCCGUCAUUGACGACAUUACCGGCUCUUACGGGGGGUUUGUUUUUGAAAUUAUGUCUGUUCACCUUUCGAGUUUGUGGUGGUGGGAAGGGGUUUUUUUUCUUUUCUUUUCUUUUCUUCCUGGUAGAUUAGUUGUCUCUUAUCCCCUCUUUUAUUCUUUUAUGAGAAGUUGAAGGAUCGGUCAGUUGCGGAUAACGUCCAUUUAUUUACUCCUGGCUCGACUUAAUUUGUUAAUAAUACAACGCAGACAUGGAAUUGGAUUUUAAAAGCAUCCCACGCAGAAUUCCUAGCUCGGUAACUCCAUUGCCGGAGAACGACAGGUGUGGCAGUCGUCGCACACACACAUACAUCCCCCUCCCCUCCUAAACUCCUCGCGGCAAAAACAGCAAAUUGUGAUUAAAAAUAUACAAGCAAUCAACCUUAACUCCCAGCUGGCACAGUGGACGGCGGAUAUACAGCGCCAACUCGAUAAGAAACCUCGCAAGUCUCAAUUUCAUCGCCCCAUCAUUCUAUCCACCCAUCUCGCCUCGUGGCAAACCGCUCUGACUCUUCCUGGCCAAUUUCAACUUCAGUUUUUGCCUCUCCGCCCAUUCGCGGCUAGCUAUCCUGCCGCGCUCCGCCGCUUCAGUUCGUGCUCUUCUCGCCGCCUCCUCCUUCUCCCGCCUUUCACGGUCCCGUUCAAUUUCAUGAAUCCGGUCGCGCGCAAAAAUCUCCUUCCCGCGCGAUCUUUGCACGAGCGGUGUAGCAUCAGCCGCCCUCGGGCAGGAUGUCGCAGGGGUGAUUGGGGAUCUGGAAGACGAAACUGGUGACAUCUCACUUUGCUGCUUAUCGCGAUCCUUAGCGGGGGAUUUGUUGGGCGGGCCUGAAACCCCAUUUGCAAUGUCCGGAUUCGCAGGUCGUGCUGGAGUACUUGCGGACGUCGUCACUGAUUUCCCUGUAGCAUUCGUGUCUGGCUGCGUAUGACUGGACGCGGCAUUCCUUGUCAUAGCAGAACCUAAGGAGCUGG
rnacentral:sRNA from 1 species